rnacentral:rRNA from 1 species
GAUGAACGCUGGCGGCGUGCCUAAUACAUGCAAGUCGAGCGAACAGACGAGGAGCUUGCUCCUCUUACGUUAGCAGCGGACGGGUGAGUAACACGUGGAUAACCUACCUAUAAGACUGGGAUAACUUCGGGAAACCGGAUCUAAUACCGGAUAAUAUAUUGAACCGCAUGGUUCAAUAGUGAAAGACGGUUUUGCUGUCACUUAUAGAUGGAUCCGCGCCGCAUUAGCUAGUUGGUAAGGUAACGGCUUACCAAGGCAACGAUGCGUAGCCGACCUGAGAGGGUGAUCGGCCACACUGGAACUGAGACACGGUCCAGACUCCUACGGGAGGCAGCAGUAGGGAAUCUUCCGCAAUGGGCGAAAGCCUGACGGAGCCACGCCGCGUGAGUGAUGAAGGUCUUCGGAUCGUAAAACUCUGUUAUUAGGGAAGAACAAAUGUGUAAGUAACUAUGCACGUCUUGACGGUACCUAAUCAGAAAGCAACGGCUAACUACGUG